AUGCAUUUCCUUCUCUGCAUUUGUCCCCCCAUGCUAGGAAGAAUUCAUGCCCUAGGCCAGUGGCUAUGGCAUCACUGCUGUUUGAAGCACACAGGCAGGAUGGCACACCGUCCCAGACGCCAUACGAGAGCUUCUUGGAGAGCAAACGGACGGCCCACCCGAACCCCGCCUGGUACAAGCUUGCAAGGAGGAGUCAAGGGCUGAGGGAAGCUCUGGACUCUGCCAGCAGCAGUCUGGCUGCGUAACGUCUGUAAAUUCAUUUCUCCUGCCUGAGGGAGCCGGCUCCCUGCCUGAAGCUUGUUGGCAGCUUUUAUCUCCUACGUGACAGCCGGAAUAACAGCUCCAGUUUCCCAGGUUGGUGUCUGCAGCGUG
rnacentral:lncRNA from 1 species